CGGCCUUCGGGUUGUAAACCUCUUUUAGCAGGGAAGAAGCGAAAGUGACGGUACCUGCAGAAAAAGCGCCGGCUAACUACGUGCCAGCAGCCGCGGUAAUACGUAGGGCGCAAGCGUUAUCCGGAAUUAUUGGGCGUAAAGAGCUCGUAGGCGGUUUGUCGCGUCUGCUGUGAAAUCCCGAGGCUCAACCUCGGGCCUGCAGUGGGUACGGGCAGACUAGAGUGCGGUAGGGGAGAUUGGAAUUCCUGGUGUAGCGGUGGAAUGCGCAGAUAUCAGGAGGAACACCGAUGGCGAAGGCAGAUCUCUGGGCCGUAACUGACGCUGAGGAGCGAAAGGGUGGGGAGCAAACAGGCUUAGAUACCCUGGUAGUCCACCCCGUAAACGUUGGGAACUAGUUGUGGGGACCAUUCCACGGUUUCCGUGACGCAGCUAACGCAUUAAGUUCCCCGCCUGGGGAGUACGGCCGCAAGGCUAAAACUCA
rnacentral:rRNA from 1 species